rnacentral:rRNA from 1 species
UAGGGAAUCUUCCACAAUGGGCGCAAGCCUGAUGGAGCGACACCGCGUGAGUGAAGAAGGGUUUCGGCUCGUAAAGCUCUGUUGUUAAAGAAGAACACGUAUGAGAGUAACUGUUCAUACGUUGACGGUAUUUAACCAGAAAGUCACGGCUAACUACGUGCCAU